rnacentral:lncRNA from 1 species
ACAGCUCUGGCGCCAUAAUCAGGGUCGCGGGUUGGGAUCAGCUGUGCCUCCCCAUCCCCACCCCCUACAGACCACCUCCCCUUACCCUGCCUGCCUGGAGCCCCAGCUGGCUCUUGGAAGGUCCCUUUCCAAUUUGCUCCACAUUCGGGAGUUUCUUAUUCCCACGGGAAGAACUCGUUGCCAUGGCGAUGUGCGCCUCCCAACCCUGAAGCCCGCCCUGGAAGCGAAAUCCUUGCCUGGGCUCCCAGGCUGAGCCGGAGGACCCCGGGGGUUCACCUAGCCCUCUGGGAUAAGGGGCUUUAGUCUCUAUAUUCUUUGGGCUUGGGGGUUGGGGACAGUGGGAGGAUUAAUUAUGGAGGCAAGGUCAGAGGAAAAGGGAAAAAUGGGAAAGAUUUUAUUUAAAGCCCCUGGUCAUUCUUGCCUUUCCGCCCGCCCACCACGACCCCUCAAGCCAGAUGCCGUCUCUAGUUCGGGAGCGUUGGAUGAGGAUGCCAGGCACUCUGCUUUUCCUAAACAACUUCCAAGAACCCCGGAACAUUUCUUAAAGUGUCUGGAACGAAGCUUUAACCUCGCCUGCUCCAUCAGCCUGGGACGGAAAAGACGCGAGGGGCGAAGAAGAGGUGGGGCACGGGGAGCCCGGGCCGUUCGGCCAGACACACACCCACCCACACGCCUCUUCCCUUCCCCUCCACCCUCAGUCAGCGGCAGAGUCAGUCCAUCCAAUAGGCAGGAGCCCAAAAGACUGUCCACGGACAGCUGUCCUCUCGCCCAGGAGAGUGGGGCUGCACACAGCAGCAGGCCCAGGAGGAAAUCGUGCUUUGAUAGCCCCAGGCAUCGUAUUUCAUCGUAUUUCACAAGUGAGCCAAAUGGAGAAGGGAUUAGCUGUUUCACCCAAUAAGCCCACAUCUGUAGUUACAUUCUGACUGGGAUAAAAUUACCCUGGUUAUUAAUCCUUCUGCUUUAGGGCAUAAGCUGAUCACCAGCUGGGGUCAGGAAAAAACUCCACCCCAGCUCCUUCCAACUUGCUCCCCCAUCCUCAGCUGCUCCAUUUCCUGUGGUCUAUUCUUGCACAGUUAGGUCUACAAGCCAGGUUCAAGGCCACCAACUGAGGCACCUGUCCCGAGACAGGACCAUUCUAAUCUGCCCUGAAAAGGACAUCCCAUUGAUCAUGUAAGUAUGUACUGAGAAUCUACUGUGGGCAAGACAUUGGUCUUCGCUGUGGGAGAUACAAAAACCAUUCAGGCAUGGCCCUUGCCUUUUUCAUGCCAAGAAAAGCUGAAGUGUGUGGUCAGAAAUUGCAUGUGGUUUCUGGGACUUACUGCCCUGAAGCACCCUGGGUGUAUCGGAUGGCCUCAGGGAACACAGUUUGGGUAUGGGCAGUAUUUUCAUGCCCAUUGCCAUUCCCUUCUGCCUCAAGUGUAUGUGGGCUUUCCCUGCAGUCAGCCAGCAGGCCAGGCCAGGGUGGCUUUGUUUCUGUCUCUGACCCUUUCUCUUCAGACUCCAAAUCUGCAGGUGCUGGAGACUUUGAAGGAGUCUCCGUUUCCCUUGGUAGAAACAAGAGGUAGGAACAAGCAGGUGGAAAGCCAGGGUUACUCCUUCCAGCCAAUGGGUCUGGGGCUGCAGCACACAAAGUUGACAUCCCGAAAGGCCAUUUUCCUCGAUCGCUUCAGACCUGGCAUUGGGUGGACAGACCACAUGAUUCAGCAUCCAAAUUGGAGAUCUCUCAAUAACAGAAAGAGGUGCCAUUGAUAAUUUCGUGGAACUUUCCUGAGCACACCAGGGUGUGCUCAUUCUUCCUGAGGGGUCAUCUCCCUUGGGCAUCGUAAGAGGCACCACUGAGACACAACAGCUUUUGUCACCAUUUCCCAAUUGUGUCCCAAGCUCUCUGUCCUCUUCCCUGUGCUGGUCAUCUCACAGUCUUCUUCUGCAGGUAGAUCCCCCCUACUUCAGCCCUUCCUCCCACCUCAGCUCCUUUGUUCCCGCUGCCAUGCCCAGAACAACCUAUAUUUCCACUCUCCAACCUUGGAUCAACCCAACUGUGUUUUCACGCUACUAUGUCCAGGAUACUGGAUGAUACUAGAGAUAGCCAUCAGUAACAUUCAUUACAUGAAUAAGUCUGGGUUGAUCCUGUGACACAGUUAUGCCUUCUACCCUCUGCUGCUUCUCAACAUUGCUCAGUCCUUAUGUUGGUGUUCUCAUUUCACAUGAUAGAGUUCCAAACCUUUUGUAGCCCGAAUCGUCAUCUAUCCCCUAAUUCUUGGAAAAGACCCUAACUUCACCAAUAGCAACAACAAUCAAAACCAACUGAACAAACAAAAAAAUACUUAAGAUACGAACCUCUCAGAUUUUCUGAACUCUCCACCUCCAGACUAAAUUUGUGGAUGGAUACCUAUCUGUUGACCAGACCCUCCCUCUUCAAUGAAAACUGCCUCUCCUUCCACUCCAUCUGUGAGGCACCCUUGGAUGCUGACAUGUGCUUACAUAGGACUUCCUGUCCACAGCCAGAAUUAGCCAGAAUUCACUGACCCAUGGUUGGACUCCUAAAAUACUCAAGAUGAGAGACAUGUUACUUUUCUUUACUAUAGUAACUAUCAAAUGCAUCCCAUAACCUUAUGUUGUAAAUGUCAAAUAUGCACAAUAAAAUUUAUUUGAAAAAAUAAAGCUGGAAAAUUGAAAGUAAUGAAUGUUCAGUUAAAAUCUGCAAACAAGCUAAUAAAUAAAUACUCAAGAUGGCCCAGUGACAGCCUUUCUCUAGAGUUUUUGAUUUGAGGCCAAGAAGGUUAGUGCAGCCUUUCUCCCAUGGCUGUCACUGUGAAGAUAAACAUUUGGGAAUUGAUGGCAGCCUUGUUUCUCCACCAGGCUGAAGAAACUAGGACCUGCGGGGGCUGAGACUGGAGUGAAACAGAUGUGAAGAGAAAAGUCCUGGGUCCAGGUGGUCCUGGGGCCCAGCCAUGCUCUUGUUUUUUUUUUUUUGUUUGUUUUUUGUUUGUUUGUUUGUUUGUUUUGUUUUAAUAGAUUUAAAUUGGUUCCUGCCAGGUACAGUCAAAGGCCUUUUUACCUGCUUCUCAGAGAAUUUCCCUCCGCCUGCCUGUGGCUAAUUCCUUCUCCUGCACCCUUGGUUCAGCCUCACCUGGCGACCCUUGUUCCAUCACUUCCACCACUUCUCUAGAAUCUUCAGUCAUUUCAGCAAUACAUAUGUUCAUCUUCCUGCCCAAAAACUGAAUAAGCAAAGACUUUCUUUCAUCUCUGACCCUCUUCAACUUCUGCCCUUCCCUUCUACUCACUAUCUCUAUUUUCUCACCUCCUACUUAAUGCCCAAUCUGCUGCUGCUAUCUUGCUCCAUUUCUUCUUCCCAUUUUCCUGAGGCUACUCUCUUGACAGGGAGUGCAUUGCAGAAUAUGUCCAAUUUCUUGUGUUUAUGUUACUUGUCUGCAGCAUCUGGCAUCAGUAACCACCUCCUCUUUCUCAAAACUCCCACUGCACUUGAUGGUUUUCCUGCUGGUUCUUGACCUGAUGCAGAAAAGCUUGACCUGCAGAAGCUGUACUAGAAGCAAUCAGGAUCUAAAGCUCUAGACUUUUCCAACCUGCCUCUCAUUGCCAUAAAAAUGCAACUGGCCUGUGUCUCCUCUCCUGGUGCACUGCUAAGGGAGGGCUGACUGAUCUAAUGAGAUUACUGGAGCUAAGGCAUUCACAGCAUCAAGAGGAGAGACACAGAAAUGUAAGACCUAAGUCCUGCCUUCAAAAACCCACAUGCUCAUUGGAAAAACAACACAGAAACACUUAAAAAAUGAAAUUCAAGCAUGAAGUAACAGCGUGAGGUAUGUCACAAAGUGGUAUGUUAUUAUUUUUUUUUAUGAGGUGGAAUCUCACACUGUCACUCAGGCUGGAGUGCAAUGGCAUGAUCUCGGUUCACUGCAACCUCCACCUCCCAGGUUCAAGUGAUUCUCCUGCCUCAGCCUCCUGAGUAGCUGGGAUUACAGGCGCCCACCACCAUGCCCAGCUAAUUUUUGUAUUUUUUUAUUAGAGACGGGGUUUCACCAUCUUGGUCAGGCUGGUCUCGAACUCCUGACCUGGUGAUCUGCCUGCCUCGGCCUCCCAAAGUGCUGGGAUUACAGGCAUGAGCCACCGCGCCCAGCCAGUGGCAUGUUAUUAAGAGAUGUGGAUACCAGUUUCUCCAGGAGAUCACAGAGCUUUCCCUGUAGGAGUAAUCAAUGGAGGCAUCCUUGUUGGGGAAGGGUCUUGGUGGUAGAUGCUGGUCUGAAAAUUGACCAAGGCCUUAAGUAAAAGUUAGGAGCUGUAUUUCCAGAGUAGAAAAAGAGAGAGACAGAGAGAGAGAGAGAGGGAGAUUCUAGGCGUGAAGAAAGCCCAAGAGCUCACAAAAUCUUGAGCUUGGGAUAGAAAUCAGACUGGACCAAGUGGAGGGUUAUAGUGGACAGUGCUCAUUUAACAAAAUAUUUUGUUUAUAAAUUUAUUAUUUGAUGUUUUAAAAACGUAUCAAGAAAACAUUAUGGGCAAAAUCAGAACACAGUUGGACUUCCUUACAUUUAUGUUAUUUUUUUUCCUUUUUUCAAUUGAUACACAUAUUUGUACAUAUUUAUGGAGUACAUGUGAUAUUUUGUUACAUGCAUGGAAUGUGGAAUGAUCAAGUCAAGGUAUUUAGGGUAGACAUCACCUCAAGUAUUUAUCAUUUUUAUAUGUUGGGAACAUGUCAAGUUCUCUCUUCUAGCUAUUUUGAACUAGACAAUACGUUGUUACUGACUAUAGCACCCCACUGUGGUAUAGAACAUUAGAACUUAUUCCUCCUAUCUAACUGUAUGUACCCACCAACUAAGCACUCUCUUAAUCCCCUUCCCCACCAGCACACCUUCGCAGCAUCUGGUAUCUAUCAUUCUCCUCUCUACCUCCAUAAGAUCAACUUUUUUUAGCUUCCAUAUAUGAGUGAGAACUUGCAAUGUUUGUCUUUCUCUGACAGCCUUAUUUCACUUAACAUAAUGACCUCCAGUUCCAUUCAUGUUGCUACAAAUGACAAGAUUUUAUUCCUUUUUUAUGGCCAAAUAGUAUUCUAUUUGUGUAUUUAUAUCACAUUUUUAAUCCAUUUGUCCAUUGAUGGACACUUAGGUUGAUCCCCUAUCUUUGCUAUUGUGAAUAGUGCUGUCGUAAACUGAGAGCACAGGUAUGCUGUGAUGUACUGAACUCCUUUCCUUUAGAAAAAUACCCCAUAGUGGGAUUGCUGGGUCAUAUGGUAGUUCUAUUUUUAGUUUUUUGAGAAAUCUCCGUACUGUUUUCCAUAAUGGCUGUACUAAUUUAGAUUCUCACCAACAGAUCCUUGCCAGCAUCUGUUACUAUUUUUUUUUUGUCUUUUUAAUAGUAGCCAUUCUAACAGGGGUAAGAAAAUGUCUCAUUGUGGAUUUCGAUUUGCAUUUCCCUGAUGAUUAGUGAUGUUGAGCAUUUUUUCAUGUACCUGUUGGCCAUUUGUAUGUCUUCUUUUGAGAAAUGUCUAUUCAUGUCCUUUGCUCACUUUUUAAUGGGAUUAUAUGGGUUUUUUUUCAACUGUUGGGUUGUUUGAGUUCCUUGUACAUUCUGGAUAUUAGUCCUUUGUCACAUUAAUAGUUUGCAAAUAUUUUCUCCAAUUCACCAGGCUGUCUCUUCACACUGUUGAUUGUGUGUAGAUGCUGUGCAGAAGCUAUUUAGUUCAACAUAGUCCCAUUUGUCUAGUGUUGUUUUUGUUGCCUAUGCUUGUGAUCCUGUUUUAUAUUUAUGGAGGAUAGAGGUGAGACAUCAUAAUCAUAUCAGUGUUAAGGACCUUGAAAGGUUGAAUGCAGAUCUUUAGUAGCACAUAAAGCUGGGACUAUAUUUUGGAAGACUUGAAUUCCAAGUGAAGCAGUUGGACCUUGCAUAUCUUGAUGUGCAAAGGGCUUUGAGGACAAUGACUACCUCAAGUUCUCUGGGUCUCUGGAGAAAAAUAUUUCUGAUUUUACAUACCUAGUCUAAUAUUGGAUUUCGUAUCUUUUACUGCAUAGUGUACAUUUUAAAAACUACAUAUGUAAGAGUUUUCUGGUGGUAGAAAUUAUGCCUCUUUGUUUCAUUACUCUUGUUCAUUGGUAUUAGUUGGAAGAGAUAAUGUCCCUUUAAGUGCAAACCCUCCCUUGAAGAAUAAAUCCUAAAACAACUG